AGCGAACGCUGGCGGCAGGCUUAACACAUGCAAGUCGAACGGGCACUUCGGUGCUAGUGGCAGACGGGUGAGUAACGCGUGGGAACGUACCUUUCGGUUCGGAAUAAUUCAGGGAAACUUGGACUAAUACCGGAUACGCCCUUCGGGGGAAAGAUUUAUCGCCGAUAGAUCGGCCCGCGUCUGAUUAGCUAGUUGGUGAGGUAAUGGCUCACCAAGGCGACGAUCAGUAGCUGGUCUGAGAGGAUGAUCAGCCACAUUGGGACUGAGACACGGCCCAAACUCCUACGGGAGGCAGCAGUGGGGAAUAUUGGACAAUGGGCGCAAGCCUGAUCCAGCCAUGCCGCGUGAGUGAUGAAGGCCUUAGGGUUGUAAAGCUCUUUUGUCCGGGAAGAUAAUGACUGUACCGGAAGAAUAAGCCCCGGCUAACUUCGUGCCAGCCGCCGCAGUAACAC
rnacentral:rRNA from 1 species